ACACAUGCAGUCGUACGAUGAACCACAUUCGGUGGGGAUUAGUGGCGAACGGGUGAGUAAACGUGGGCAAUCUGCCCUGCACUCUGGGACAAGCCCUGGAAACGGGGUCUAAUACCGGAUACUGAUCCGCCUGGGCAUCCAGGCGGUUCGAAAGCUCCGGCGGUGCAGGAUGAGCCCGCGGCCUAUCAGCUUGUUGGUGAGGUAACGGCUCACCAAGGCGACGACGGGUAGCCGGCCUGAGAGGGCGACCGGCCACACUGGGACUGAGACACGGCCCAGACUCCUACGGGAGGCAGCAGUGGGGAAUAUUGCACAAUGGGCGCAAGCCUGAUGCAGCGACGCCGCGUGAGGGAUGACGGCCUUCGGGUUGUAAACCUCUUUCAGCAGGGAAGAAGCGAAAGUGACGGUACCUGCAGAAGAAGCGCCGGCUAACUACGUGCCAGCAGCCGCGGUAAUACGUAGGGCGCGAGCGUUGUCCGGAAUUAUUGGGCGUAAAGAGCUCGUAGGCGGCUUGUCACGUCGGUUGUGAAAGCCCGGGGCUUAACCCCGGGUCUGCAGUCGAUACGGGCAGGCUAGAGUUCGGUAGGGGAGAUCGGAAUUCCUGGUGUAGCGGUGAAAUGCGCAGAUAUCAGGAGGAACACCGGUGGCGAAGGCGGAUCUCUGGGCCGAUACUGACGCUGAGGAGCGAAAGCGUGGGGAGCGAACAGGAUUAGAUACCCUGGUAGUCCACGCCGUAAACGGUGGGCACUAGGUGUGGGCGACAUUCCACGUCGUCCGUGCCGCAGCUAACGCAUUAAGUGCCCCGCCUGGGGGAGUACGGCCGCAAGGCUAAAACUCAAAGGAAAUUGACGGGGGGCCCGCACAAGCGGCGGGAGCAUGGUGGCUUAAUUCGACGCAACGCGGAAGAACCCUUACCAAAGGC
rnacentral:rRNA from 1 species